rnacentral:misc_RNA from 1 species
AAGAGAUGGAGCACACGAAGCCUGUGAUCGGAAAGGAGCUGAAGGUGAAGCCCAAGGAAAUACGCCGCCCGGACACCAUCCACUACAUCGAAAAGAAGCUGGAAGACAAAGGCGUUUACCGUCUGGAGCGCCACCCCUCCGACGGCCUCGGCGUCGCCCAGCCUCCACACAAGUCUGGCCAUGGCGGCAAGUUCACGUGGGAGGGGCCGGCCGGUAGUGAGCUCGAUCCGGUGCCGGCUGCCAUUGAUUCCAAGGAUCCCAACUAUGUCGAGGAUGAGAUUGAAAAUGAAGAGUUGAGUGAGGUGAUCGUUGGACAAGUAGAGGUGGCUAAAGUGGCGGAGGCCAAAGAAGGAGUCUCCAGGAUUGAGAUCUCGCCGCCUAUCCAGCUGUAGGUACUGGAAUACCACUGUUUCCUGCCCUUCUUUCUGUUCAAUAAGUGUCUGCUUUUGAU